AGAGUAGGUCAAAUGAUCGCUGUCCCGUUCUUCCCCUUCCCGGGGUAAACGGGGGAGAGGAAAGUCCGAGCUCCGCAGGGCAGGGUGCUGGGUAACGCCCAGUCCCGGUGACGGGAAGGAAAGUGCCACAGAAAACAAACCGCCCCGGGAAAUAGCUUGUUUCCCGGGGUAAGGGUGAAACGGUGAGGUAAGAGCUCACCAGCUCCGGUGGUGACACCGGAGGCUCGGUAAACCCCACCCGGAGCAAGACCAAGUAGGAGAGCGUUGAGGACGGCCCGUUCGAGCUCUCGGGUAGGUCGCUUGAGACCCCGAGCAAUCGUGGUCCUAGAUGAAUGAUCAUUGUCCUUUGGGGAGUGAUCUCCCAAGGAAACAGAACUCGGCUUACGACCUGCUCUAUUC
rnacentral:RNase_P_RNA from 1 species